rnacentral:rRNA from 1 species
GACGAACGCUGGCGGCGUGCUUAACACAUGCAAGUCGAACGGAAAGGCCCUGCUUUUGUGGGGUGCUCGAGUGGCGAACGGGUGUGUAACACGUGAGUAACCUGCCCUUGACUUUGGGAUAACUUCAGGAAACUGGGGCUAAUACCGGAUAUGAGCUCCUGCUGCUUGUUGGGGGUUGGAAAGUUUCGGCGGUUGGUGAUGGACUCGCGGCUUAUCAGCUUGUUUGUGGGGUAGUGGCUUACCAAGGCUUUGACGGGUAGCCGGCAUGAGAGGGUGACCGGCGACAAUGGGACUGAGAUACGGACCAGACUGGAACGGGAGGCAGCAGUGGGGAAUAUUGCACAAUGGGAGGAAGCGUGAUGAAGAAAAGCAGCGAGCGGGAUGAAGGCCUUCGGGUUGUAAACAGAAUUAGAAUGUGAAGAAGAGUGAGUGACGGUAAUGGGUAAAGAAGCAACGGCUAACUACGUG